rnacentral:tRNA from 1 species
GUAGCUCAACGGGAGAGCACCGGAUUGUCUAUCCGGUGACAGGCGGCGAUUUUCACCUUUUAGGACAGCGUCUUAGCUUUCGCGUUCGCCUGUUUCCA